rnacentral:rRNA from 1 species
UACGAAGGGUGCAAACGCUGCUCGGAAUUACUGGGCGUAAAGGGCGCGUAGGCGGCCUUCUAAGUCGAACGUGAAAUCCCUGGGCUCAACCCAGGAACUGCGUCCGAUACUGGAAGGCUUGAAUCCGGGAGAGGGAUGCGGAAUUCCAGGUGUAGCGGUGAAAUGCGCAGAUAUCAGGAGGAACACCGGUGGCGAAGGCGGAUCUCUGGGCCUUGCCUGACGCUGAGGCGCGAAAGCUAGGGGAGCGAACAGG